AGGUGUUGUAGCGGAAGGUGACGCCCAGUUUCUCGCACUGGGCGACGCGCCAGUCGAUCAGGCCGAUCAUGUCGGCGCGGCUUUUG
rnacentral:tRNA from 1 species